GCGAAGGCGGCGGAAUUGGUAGACGCGCUAGCUUCAGGUGUUAGUGUCCUUACGGACGUGGGGGUUCAAGUCCCCCCCCUCGCACCA
rnacentral:tRNA from 1 species